rnacentral:lncRNA from 1 species
AAGCUCCAACAGUAACUUUAUCAGAGAAAGACAGUCAAAAAACAAACUCUCCUUUCUCAAUAGGCUUCAUCAUUUGGGUCAGAAUGCUGCUGUUUCUGUAACUUCUCCUGAGUAUCAUGGUGGCUCUUCUGGAUGCUUUUUGUCCUAGUCUCUCACCUUCUUAUGACUAGCUCAAGAGUCAACAGGCACAGAAAGGGAAGGAGGGACAAGGAUUUAGAAGAAGACAACUAUAACAUUAUGUCUGAUGACGUGGACUUGUCCAUGAAAGCCCACAUUAAAAAAUAAUAUAAAGUAAUCAUCUCCAGACAGGACCUGCUGAGACGUGGUUUCCAAUCUGGCCUCAUUCAGAGAAAGUUCUGACCCAAUUAACUGCAAGCAGCCCUCACUUGGAGGUGUUGAGAGAGUUGUGGAGCUUGCUUGAAUUCCACUAAAUGCACAGCAGGAAGCACCAGCCGAUUGGGCAGAAUUAGCU